rnacentral:rRNA from 1 species
UACAGAGGUGGCAAGCGUUGUUCGGAAUUACUGGGCGUAAAGGGCGCGUAGGCGGCCUUCUAAGUCAGACGUGAAAUCCCCCGGCUUAACCUGGGAACUGCGUCUGAUACUGGGAGGCUUGAGUAUGGGAGAGGGAUGUAGAAUUCCAGGUGUAGCGGUGAAAUGCGUAGAUAUCUGGAGGAAUACCGGUGGCGAAGGCGGAUCUCUGGGCCUUACCUGACGCUGAGGAGCGAAAGCAUGGGGAGCAAACAGG